GAAAUGCGAUAAGUAGUGUGAAUUGCAGAAUUCAGUGAAUCAUCGAAUCUUUGAACGCACAUUGCGCCCCUUGGUAUUCCAUGGGGCAUGUCUGUUCGAGCAUCAUCUACACCCUCAAGCUCUGCUUGGUGUUGGGCGUCUUUGUCCCGCCUCCGCGCGCGGACUCGCCCCAAAUUCAUUGGCAGCGGUCCUUGCCUCCUCUCGCGCAGCACAUUGCGCUUCUCGAGGUGUUGCGGCCCGCGUCCAGAAAGCAAUCGUUACCGUCUUUGACCUCGGAUCAGGUAGGGAUACCCGCUGAACUUAAGC
rnacentral:misc_RNA from 1 species